rnacentral:lncRNA from 1 species
AGACAUCCAGCAACUUUGCAAGAUGACACUCCAUGGAGCAUGUUAAGGAGCUCUAGAGAACGUAAGGGUGGCACACAGAGAACGAGGCGCGCUUCUGAACUGCUCUUGACUGCCGUGAGAUGUCCCACUGAAGCUGAUGUGUAUGUUAAAAGACUUCAAGCUGAUCACUCCUUUAAGGAAGAGAGGGCAACAAGAACUGAAGCAACUCUUAACACCUAGGACUAGUUUAAGUGGAAGGAAGACUGUGACCCAAGCAUUCGAAAUCCAUGGAACACAUCCUCAGAAACGGAAGAGUGGAAGAACCAGUGUUUUUUUCUGAAGAGCGCAGUGGUUUGUGAACGGGCCGAUAAGACAUCUGAUGAAGAGUCUGUCUGCAGAGGGAAUCCACAUUUCUGUAUCCAAGCUGGUGCGAUAAUUAAUCUUUUGUGAUUCUGACAGUUGCCUACAGAGUAGCAGAAACAAAAGCUCACACUCUGACUGUGAUUAAUGCAUCAUUAGUUGUCAGACUAAGAAUUUUGGAAGUGGGUAAGUAAGCCCUAGGCCAGACUGUUGAUUGUGUUUAAGAAAACUGCGGAGGAUUACAGUGUGGGGGGAGCUGGGAGUCAGCAUUUGUUUACCACAGGCAGUGACCAUGUUUUGUUCCUUGUCUGAAACCACUCUGUUCCCGCAACGGGAGGAGAGGAGAAGAAAUAGGCGUGUGAUUUCUGAAACAAAGCUCUGCCUCAAGCCUCUGCUAAACUGAAAAAAUGACAAAAGACCCAGCUGACCACAGUCCAUGUUGCCCUGGCUUCUGUGUGGGAUAUGUAGGAGCUGGACACUGACUGCAGUCUGCUACCCUUGUCUGGGACACCACGAUGUUGCAAAACGUCUGCUGCGGAGAAAAACAUAGCUCUUGCUGUAUAGAUUCCUGGCUAUGGAUGGCUUUAAGAGUGUGGUGCUUCUCCAGCCUGUUCCAGAAAGAAUCAAGAAGAUGGUCUGGCUUGCAGGAUUAUUUGAAAGCUGCGCAGACCUCAAAAAGGAGCUCUCUAUGUGGGACCAGGACAAUACCAGAAAGAAGGAGAGAAUCUGAGAUUCAGGUACCAUUAACGUGCUUGGCUGGGACCAUCCACUCCUCCCACAGACCAGAGGACAUGGGGAGGCCUGUUCUGCUGUCUUCCCCAAGCUGUACGAGGCCAGCUCCUGGGAGCUACUGCUGUUCCACUUGA